rnacentral:snRNA from 1 species
GUGCUAGCUUCGGCAGCACAUAUAGUAAAACUGGAACAAUACAGAGAAGAUUAGCAUGGCCCCUGUGCAAGGAUGACAUGCAAAUUCGUGAAGCGUUCCAUAUUUUU